GUGGCCGCGCUGUGGCUAAGCCCCAUCCUACGAAUCGGAACAGGAAUGCCCUCCGAGGGCGGUCCAGGCGACCCCCUCGCCAGUCUCAAUUUUAAAAGUAAACGUAGAGGUGGAAAUUAACUGAUCUUCCGGAUAAAGGAUCCUCCUGCUUUAUCACAGUCUGACUCAGACAGAAUUCUUGAUUCACGGGACGUGAAGCUGGUCCUGGGUGCACCACACCCCGCUGACCUCUGAGUCCCCAGCACCCCCCGGGCAUGAAGGACCCCACGGAUGGAAGGUCACUGAGUCAUUGAACAAGACAGACGUGACCACCUCCCCCAUCUUAUGGAAGAACCACGCAGAAAGCUCCUUAUUUCACAGCUAUUACUAGGAGCCUCAGAAGAGGAGGAAAUGUCCCUGCUGCCUGCAGCUUUAGAGACGGAGAGCGAGGCUCUUCCAACCGUGCAGGGCCCUCGUGAGGCAGAAAAAGGUGGGGACCACGUCGCUCCCCUGGCCUGGCUUCUGUGGGCAGCUGGCAGAAGCGGGACAGCGGACACCAGCGUGCAGGGCCCACCCGUGACCUCGCCUCUCCCAAGGCUGGGGAUGCCCCUCUGUACUUCCUUCCUUCUCCCGGUGGACACUUCUUGUUUAUUUCUGACUUGGCAAAUAAUCGGUCUUAGGACUAUAGUGCAGACUUUCUUCCCUCUGUGGUUAUGGUACAGCGAUCACGUCCCACCUGUGUGUUCUGCUUCCCGCAUCCAUCCUCACAUCUGACAGUAGACUGGUUGACUUUAGAGCCAGUCAGAAGCGCAGGGAGGAGAAAGAAGAAGAGUUAUUAUUAGCAAGGAAGAUGGAAUUAUCCUGGAGCCGAGUAAUUGGUUCCUAGAAACAUGAAGAUAGCUCGUCUAGCCCUGGGAAUUAUUGAGGAUCUGGUGAAGGGCCAGCGUUCAAUACAGUCAACAACUCCAGUGUGCCAGCGCUCGUGCCGGCCCGGGCCUCCUGCCGUGGGACAAGGGUCUGCCCGCCCCGUGGGUGCGGAGUCUGGGUUCUCCCAGGAAGAAACUCUGAUGGAUCCGGCCCUCACUCUGCUCCACGGGCCUCAGACCCAGUCCCAGAGGUCGGGUGAGGAGGACGCCCAUCCCACGUCAUUGCCUCCCGCGACCUCUGCCUCCCGCCAGCGCAGCCGCACACAGGAACCUUUGUCCCCACCGGCCGCCUGGUUCUGGCUCAGGAGGGGCUGCUCUCCGGCUGCCUGCCUACUGGUCUUCCCCUUUGACUCCAAGAUUUUGACCUCAGUGGAGGCUCAGAAACUUUCCGUUUGAACUAACUCUCAGAUUUUUUUCUUUAAAGUCUGACGACCCCCCAAAAUUCAGCACACAUCCAAAGUAAGGUGAAUCAGGGCACGUAGAAGGUUUAGAAGAUGAAACAGAAUAGACACGUGCAGCCACAGUCAGUACGGCUUCCAUCCUCAGGGCUCAUGCUCGGCGUUGGGCCUCCUGGCACCCAGAACCAAAAAAAGGAAAAAGGGAAAUGCUGAGAUUCCCUGUUUCUCUGUAACUAAGGUCCUCCUUUUGAUUAAUGGGUUUUGCAGAUAUUUUUUUCUUGCCUGGUAGUGAUUUGGAACCAUAGAAAUAUUAUAGCAGGAUCUCCUGUGAGCAACGUGGGUGUCUCCAGGCGGGCAGAAUAAGGGAACUAUGGACACAAGAGACGGCUGUUUGAGAUACAUGGAAGGGGUACCAGGAGGCUGGGUUAUCUUAAGGGAGUUUUCUAUCAAAGUGUUAAAUGGGGCGGGGAGGGGAGAGAAAGACAGAGAGAGAAGCAGAGAGACACAAAGAGUGAGAGACAGAGAGAGAGACAGCCAGAGAGGAGAAGGGAAGUUUAUCACCUUUGCCCGAAGGCCCGGGCCGGCCGGUCGCAGCCUCCCUGGACCAUUUGGAGCGAUGCUGGCCGGCUGGCAUUGACACUCGUCUCCUCUAGGAAGACCAUCUUGGGCUGUUCUUCUGCUCUUCGCUCUGCAUUUAAAAAAUGAGGCUCUCACGAUCGGAGCUUGUUUUCACAUCUUGUUAGCUCUGUGCUGGUAACAUUCCAGACAUGACUUCCAUCCUGUUAGCAAACGGGUCCUCAGAUUUCUUUUUCUGAAACACGCUUCUGGAAGUCUCCCUUGGAGAAGGCGAACCCCAGACAUUGUCUAUGAAUUCCUGAGAUCUCAAUCAAGUGAAUGAUUUCCCCCGAUGUCUUCAUUACUCUACACAUGUGCGUGUGGACACAUGCAUGUCCACACACGUGCACACACAUGCACACAUGACAGGAGCCCCAACAGGCUGCAUUGCAGGGACUCCCGGCUUCUAGGAGGCAGGGAUGUGGGAGCGCUCAGCGUGUGUUGAUUCAGCGGACGCGAGGCCCCCCGGCCACGGAGCAGCCUGUUUUCUGGGACCAGGAAACAUUUCAAGGACUCGGCAUCAGGCCUCCCACCCUGCACCCAGGCCUCGGCUUCCUCGUCUCAUAUUCACCAGCUGUCUCCAUGAUUUACUGUCUUUUUCCUGGUGGCCGCCAGGCCAGCAUGAGUCUGCAGCAGUCUACAUGUCCCUUGGCUCUGAGAGGAUGACCACGACAUGUGGGAGGAUGUUCAGGGGUCAAAUGAGUCUCUAGGGGCUUAAAACUAGCUCCCGAAAUGGUGACGUGACCUGUGACCAGAGGGACAGAUAUGGGCUGGGAACGUCAUGGCCUGAGGCUUCCAGAAAGAGGAUAUGUGUGGAGAGAGAGCAAGUGAAAGAGAACAGAAAGUCUCCAAGUGCAUCUCGCUCGGGCAGAGUCACGGCUGCCCUGUGAAACGUUCCAGCGGCGUGGAGCUCAGUCAGGUUUCUCUGCGGGACUCAUGGUUUUUGAAAAACAGUUUGAGUGAAUUAUAUUUUAAUAAAGAUGUUAAAAA